GGCGGUUCUCGGGUGACAUACCCUGGAACCGGGCUCCCUCCUCUCUGGUUCCAGGUGUGUCACCCGAGAACCCCA
rfam:Myotis brandtii contig287279, whole genome shotgun sequence.